rnacentral:rRNA from 1 species
CCUACGGGUGGCAGCAGUGGGGAAUAUUGCACAAUGGGCGCAAGCCUGAUGCAGCCAUGCCGCGUGUGUGAAGAAGGCCUUCGGGUUGUAAAGCACUUUCAGUGGGGAGGAAGGCGCUAAGGUUAAUAACCUUAGCGAUUGACGUUACCCGCAGAAGAAGCACCGGCUAACUCCGUGCCAGCAGCCGCGGUAAUACGGAGGGUGCAAGCGUUAAUCGGAAUUACUGGGCGUAAAGCGCACGCAGGCGGUCUGUCAAGUCGGAUGUGAAAUCCCCGGGCUCAACCUGGGAACUGCAUUCGAAACUGGCAGGCUAGAGUCUUGUAGAGGGGGGUAGAAUUUCAGGUGUAGCGGUGAAAUGCGUAGAGAUCUGGAGAAAUACCGGUGGCGAAGGCGGCCCCCUGGACAAAGACUGACGCUCAGGUGCGAAAGCGUGGGGAGCAAACAGGAUUAGAUACCCUUGUAGUC